rnacentral:piRNA from 1 species
UCCUAGAGGCCAAAAGGAAGGUAACGGGAAC